rnacentral:rRNA from 1 species
UAAGACGGAGGAGGCUAGCGUUGUUCGGAAUUACUGGGCGUAAAGCGUGCGCAGGUUGUGAGUUCAGUUUGAUGUGAAAGCCCGGGGCUCAACCUCGGAUGUGCAUUAAAUACUGGCUCGCUGGAGGUUGGAAGAGGAGAGUGGAAUUCCCAGUGUAGAGGUGAAAUUCGUAGAUAUUGGGAAGAACACCAGUGGCGAAGGCGGCUCUCUGGUCCAUACCUGACACUCAUGCACGAAAGCGUGGGGAGCAAACAGGAUUAGAUACCCUGGUAGUCCACGCCGUAAACGAUGUGUGCUAGACGUCGGGAGGCUUGCCUCUCGGUGUCGCAGCUAACGCGAUAAGCACACCGCCUGGGGAGUACGGCCGCAAGGUUAAAACUCAAAGGAAUUGACGG